rnacentral:rRNA from 1 species
GACGAACGCUGGCGGCGUGCUUAACACAUGCAAGUCGAACGGAAAGGCCUGCUUUCCCUUGUGGAUUGCGGGUACUCGAGUGGCGAACGGGUGAGUAACACGUGAGUGAUCUGCUGCCAACUUGGGUAUAAGCCUGGGAAACUGGGUCUAAUUACCGAUAGGACUGCAGGGUGGUGUCUGUGGUUGAAGACGAUGUUGUAGUGGUCGGGGAUGAGCUGGUGGCGUAUGAGCUUGUGGGUGGGGUAGUGGUCUACGAGGGGGGGGACGGGUAGCCGGCCUGGGAUGGUGGACGGGCACAUGGGGACGGCGAUACGGCCAAGACUCCUACGGGAGGCAGCAGUGGGGAAGAAGGCGCAAGGAGCGUAACCCUGAGGCAGCGACGCCGCGGGGGGAAUGACGGCCUUCGGGUGGUAAACUCCUGGCGACCGCGAGGAAGCCACCGGGUUGGAAGGUGAGUGACGGUAGUGGGAGAAGAAGCACCGGCUAACUACGUG